UUGAGUAGGUGCAGUUAAAGCAUCUCAGAUCAGGCUUAGGCACUGCCAAAAUUACUGCUUCUGAACUUCCUUCCACUCACCUUUCAGGUGUUUUGGUUUCUGCAUUUAUGAAACGAGAAUUAAUGAUCUGAAUCACAGGUGAGAUGAGAGAGUAAAUGGGAGGUGCUGAGACAAGGAGAUGGAGUUUGUUAUUGCCAGUUCUGAGUGCAGAUCUCCUUCUGUGUGGGAAGACAACUAAAGCUCUUUGCUAAUUAAUUAAGCUUUGCAAUACUCAAGGAAGCAUGGGGAUGGAUUCCAAGGCACAGUGAAUGAGACCAAGCAUUUGGACACAGGAAUAAGAUACAAUAGAGAACUUAAAAAGCUGAAAGAAAGGAAGAGGUGGUAGCUGUAAUGAGACAAAUCUGAAAAGCAUGACAGGAAGCAGUUCUGGCAUCAGCAGCCUCAUGUGCCAUGUCACACCACUGAUGGAUUUUGGAAAGGAAAGGCAUGACAGCAUUUAAAAAUAUGGCAGCAGAGGGGCAGUCUUACAAAAUGGCAUCUAACACGGAAGUGUGUAUGAAGGUUUGAAACUGAAUUCCUCCGUGUGAGAAAAAAUUGCAGCCGCUGACAUUCAUAGAUGCUUGCUGAACGUUUCUGGAGACCAAACAGUGGAUGUGAGCACAGUGAGGCAGUGGGCACUGCACUUCAACAGCAGUGACAGCAGUCACCUCCGCUGGUGCAGCCUGAGUGCAGCAUGCAGGCUCUUGUUUAUUGCUGCUGAAAAUGCACAGCUAAUGGUGGUGACUGUGUUGGAAAAAGAAGUGUUUUGCAGCUGAGAGUUUGCUCUAUUCAGUAACACUGCUGUGUUCUACCUGUUGUAGUUUCCACGGAAAUAAACAGCAGGCACUGCUUUAUGAGAAACCUACCUAUGCGAAGUCUUACUACACUCCUAUUUAAAAAAAAAAAAAAAAAAAAAAAAAGGUAAAGCACGAUUUUUAUUUUAAACCUGAACUGCUGUUCUCCUCUUAAAACGAACCUGUAGCUGAAACCACAGGAGCUGACGUCUUCUGCUGAAGAAUAAAAGCGGAGCACAACGUACCGCAGCGCUCCUCAUCAGCUCCCAUUCAAAAAGCUCAACCGAAAUCUACGGGACCGCUUGUGCGCCCCCGUGCCGGCCGGCAGGACGGCUGCUGACAGCCCGCAGCGCUUCUGGACGGAAGACGCAGCAACGCGCGCUGGCAGCACAGCUUAAAACCCAUCUAUUUUAAAACUUCUUCCUCACGCGAAAGCCAACACGUCUUCAGGCAGCAGCUGUGCAGCAGCAAGCCGAGAUAAAGAGGCCGAGUCCGCGGCGCCAAUGGGACAGCGCGGACGGGGAAGCGGCGAGCGGCUUCCUGCCCAGUGCCGCAGCAGCGGGAGGAAAAGGAGCAGCAGCAGCUCGAGGCGGCGGCUGUGCCCGGGGUGGCGGAAGGCGGCCGCACGUGCUGGCAGGAGCCGUGGAGCCGGCGGG